UUCAGAAUUGUGAGAGUGCUUGGUGGCC
rnacentral:piRNA from 1 species